CUUUUCUCAUUCAAACCUGUGGCCCCUCCCAGAGGCGGCCCCUGUAUUCCCUGCCGACUUUAAAGCCCUGCCGAAAUUCAAACCCGCUCUAGUCCUAAAGCUCUGAUGGAUUGUGCUUUUACAGGAAAGCAGGAAGGGAAGUGCCCUGCCCGAGCCCCUGGCCCACCUCCCACCAGAGGGAAUGCACGCCCUGUGAAAACCAAAGAAAAGGUGACCCUGGAACUAAACGGUGGCACCCAGGAAGCUGGAUUGCAAAUCAGAGAACCUUCCGGAACACAUACUGAUAGGAUAUUCCCAGGAGGAGCCCAAGACAAGGGAAUUGCCAGGCAAACCAAAUUGCUCUGGGCAUCUGGAAAAGUAGAGACGUAAUUGGAAGAAGGAGAAUGGAAGGAAAAAUGCCAAAUGACAAGCUGAGGACAUAUGGGGAGAGAACUGGUGAGGGACAAGGCCAGAAGGAGCAGGGACACGAGUGCAGUGUGGGCUGUUGCUGACUGUGACCAUCGAAUGCCAUGUUAAAGCCUUUCCCAAGGGAGGCACAUGAAGAAUAAAGACAAGGAAGCAAGGUGGGACUUUGCAAGUACAUGAAGCACCUGCUUCCCUGUUGAAUGGAGGCUCUUCACCUCGCGUGGGUGUGCAAGCUCCAGCCCUCAGAGGGCCAGGCCUGGCCUAGAGGAGCAACACCAGCUGGAAUGCCGGUGUCCUAUGACAAGGGGAUGCUGAUGCUCCACCUGGAGGAUGACGACCUUGUAGGAAUGCUGAUCAGAGCUGCCAGAUCUCCAUACUGCCCCAAAGUAGCUGGGAAGCUGCAUUCGUAUGUGGUAAGUCCAAAGUUUUAAAUGCUGGCAACCGAUUCAAAAUGUUGAAAAAAGCCCA